AUUUUCCCUCUCUCUCUGUGCUCUACACCUAAUCCUGUCCUGUAUGUAAUUGGAGGUGUUUUGUAUCCUUGUUAUUUACUGUCUCUGCCCUAGAUAGGGGUUUUAUGUGGCACCUAUACAAUUCUAUUACAAUACUCAGCCUCCUAAUGGUAGUCAGGUAUUAGGUAUGCAUACCUAGAGACAGUCCUGUUAUAGAUAUCUUCU